UACGUAGGGCGCAAGCGUUGUCCGGAAUUAUUGGGCGUAAAGAGCUCGUAGGCGGUUUGUCGCGUCUGCUGUGAAAACUCGAGGCUCAACCUCGGGCUUGCAGUGGGUACGGGCAGACUAGAGUGCGGUAGGGGUGACUGGAAUUCCUGGUGUAGCGGUGGAAUGCGCAGAUAUCAGGAGGGAACACCCGGUGGCGAAGGCGGGACUCUGGGCCGAUACUGACGC
rnacentral:rRNA from 1 species